rnacentral:lncRNA from 1 species
UCGAUGGCAUCCAUUGAACUUAAAACAUUUUUUAGCAAAAGACUGCAAGAGUGAAGGAUGUCUUUUGCCAUAUUUUUACAAAUGGAUCACGCUUGCUUUACAAAGUACUAGAAAGAUCCCUGUAAAAACAGUACUACAAGAUUUGUAACACAAGAUCGCACAGAACAUGUAUUGAUCUACACAGGAAGUUUUGCUACUUGUAGAAAAUAAAAAUGAACUCUAACUUGGAGAAUCAACAUAUGUUUCUUUCCGUUGAUUACAUUCAAUUCAUGUAUGUACAAAAGAAACAAAAUUGCAACUCCACCAUUGACUAGUCCAUGGCUGAAUAGCCGAACUUCAUAGAAUGACAUUUUUGGAACUUAGCCAAGGAAUCAUUUUCUCAAAUUCACGUUUGAACUCCAUUUGGAAAAUUUCAAGCUCCUCUCUGGGAGGUGUUGACUGAUUUCCUCAGGGUGAUGAGCUUCUGAAGAUAGUGGUGCAAUCGCUCGAUGACAAAUGCGAUGAAUAGUGUGUAUCCUGCAAGGAGCGAUAAGCUGUUAGAAAUGUUUAGCUUUGAACUUGAAUAAAAUAUAGGAACUGUGCUGAGUUUAUUUUCAGAUUUCUGCUAGCAUGCAUCAAGACAUUUUAUAUAUGGUUUUUACACUGCCAAUCUAGACUAGAUACUUCCAAAUCCUAAAAAACUUUAUUACAAUAGUCAGGAGUGAACUCAUACAUGUAUAUCUACUAAUAAACACCAACAAGCAAUUACAACAGCAGAGAUAUAAUCUAAAACUCAUGGCAUAUAUCUUUAUAUUCAUCAAGUUGAAAUCAACAAAAUUUAGAAUUUCCAAACACCAAAGGGCAAAAAAUGGUGAAAAUAGUCUCAAGAUUUACGGUCUAUGUCCACCGAGAGUUUUGUUGUUAAUAAUACCAAUCGAAGCUUUUCCAACAAAGCAUUCUCUAAUGCAAAUCUUCCUAGCAACCUCACCCAAUGACAUUUAUGCAUUAGCUCUGGUUUGAUUUGAAACUAAAUUAAAUGAAAUUUGAGAAAAGCUGUUAGGAGGACAGGAAACCAUUUCCCAAACAAGAAAAAUAAACAAGUACAAGCAUGAGUAUAGCAAGAGGAGUUGUUAGCAUGUUUAUCUGAAUGCGUAUGUUUGUUCAAUACACCAUGUGAUGCAAGUACCAACUCUUUUUCUCUCUGAAACAAGCAAGAUUCACACAAACAUCCUGCAUUUCUAGCAUCAGAAGUUACUUGUCAUGAACUGACAGAUUUACACAAGUAGACCAACCAAUGGUGAAAUCUAUUAAUUGUUUUAAGGAAUCAAUAAUUUGGUACCCGCUGGGGAUUCAUGUGUUUCGUUGUACUAAAUUUAAUAACAAAAAUGCAGAUUCAUACAGAAAACAACCCAAAAGAAGUGAUGUCACCGUGUCCCGUUGCAGCUCAGCGUGUGUAGUGUACUUGCACUUACGAUCAACCAUUUUUUUGACUAGAUAUUUCAUGGGAGUCUAGGGUGCUGGCAAGGGUGAUCGGCUUGAGCAUUGCGUCAUCGAACGGCCUUAUGUGGAGGCAGUGAACGGCCUGGGCCAUGAAGGUUCAAGCAGGUUCAAGAAGUGGUGUUGAGAGGCUGUGUGGGACUAUAUUUUGUAGUGUCUGAAUAAGUUUAGUAGCUGCUCAC